rnacentral:rRNA from 1 species
GACGAACGCUGGCGGCGUGCUUAACACAUGCAAGUCGAACGGUAAGGCCCUUCGGGGUACACGAGUGGCGAACGGGUGAGUAACACGUGGGUGAUCUGCCCUGCACUUCGGGAUAAGCCUGGGAAACUGGGUCUAAUACCGGAUAGGACCCUGGGAUGCAUGUCCUGGGGUGGAAAGCUUUUGCGGUGUGGGAUGGGCCCGCGGCCUAUCAGCUUGUUGGUGGGGUGAUGGCCUACCAAGGCGACGACGGGUAGCCGGCCUGAGAGGGUGACCGGCCACUGUGGGACUGAGAUACGGCCCAGACUCCUACGGGAGGCAGCAGUGGGGAAUAUUGCACAAUGGGCGCAAGCCUGAUGCAGCGACGCCGCGUGAGGGAUGACGGCCUUCGGGUUGUAAACCUCUUUCAGCACCGACGAAGCGCAAGUGACGGUAGGUGCAGAAGAAGGACCGGCCAACUACGUGCCAGCCGCCGCGGUAA